UGACUGCGCUUAUUUGGUGGAUCUUUUCAGUUCUCGGUCAAACACGGUUCCUUGGAGGUUCUUCAGUCGCUGGCGUAAGGUUCUCUCUUCCCUUGCUGGUUUUCAUUUUAUUAUCACUCACAUCUACAGGGAAGGGAACCGGGUUGCAGAUUGUUUGGCUUCUUCUGUAGCGGAGGAAGGCUAUUGGAAUUUUACGAUCCCGGAUAUCCUACAGUUGGUGAAGGAUGACAGGCGGCAACUUCCUUACAUUCGGGUUGUCACUUGAGCUUGGUCUCCUUGGGGCACUGGUUUGUGUUUGUUUUGGUUGUUGAUCUGGUUCUUUUGGUCCUGCUGUCCGGGUGUUGGGAAGGUUUCCAAAGUUUGGGUAGUCACACUUGGCGGUCCUUGCUUGUCGUGAUUUGUCCGGUAGAUGCUAGCAGGAGUGUCUUCACUGCGAUAAGCUUAAUUUCUUCUCUGGUUUUGGAGUUUGCUGCUGGUCUCUGCUCCUCUGAUGGAUCCCUCAUUAUGAGCAUGGGAAACCGCGCGGGAAAACUUGGGUUACCACCAAUGGUUUCAUCCCGUGAUUAUGACCUUAAAAGCACGUGCUUAAUAAGUUUGAGAAUUGAUUAUAAAAGUAAUUGCUUUAGGAGAUUCACUGCUAGCGGAGAACUGGGUCUGAUCGUCUUGUUUGGUCUUCUCGUUGUGACGUCCCUUGCUUUUGUUCUUCCCUUCAUCUGUGAUGGUUGGAUCUUUUGCUCCUGGGUUUGGUUGGUGCUUGUUUUGAGAUUGUGCCCCUCUGGAGUUCACCCUGUACUGAAGUUUGUUUGGUGGCCAGUUUGUCUUGUUGUUUGCUUUGGUGUUUCCUGGGGCCACGGUUGUCUUUUGCACAGGUGACCAGAGCAGGGAGGAUUCAUAAUGCGUUCGGUGGGAAUCCUGUGCUGACUGCUCGGCUUAGUCCGGCUAGUGCAGAUCUCUCUAGAUGGCCUAAGCUGUCCCCUCGAGUUUUGUGUUGGCUCUUUUGUGCUUGAGCUGUGUUUCUUCCGGCUUAGGGGGACGACUCGCCGAUGGGUUUUGGUUGGCCGUAAUCUGUGGCGGCGGCUUUCCCGUCCCCUUAACUGUGGUUCUUGUUUUUUUUUGGUUUCGUUAGGUGGUAUUGCGUCCUUACAUUGGUCCCUUGUUGUACUGUCUUUUCGUUCACCUAGUUUUGUAACAACUUUUCUUUCUUUCUUUUCAAUAAAAUUUUCAUUACAGCANAUAGUUUAAAUUACAUGGUUUUUGUCUUACUCACUAAUUAGAUCUAAUCAGAUUUCAAGUCGGCUAAUAGUCUGGCUUUUCGCCUUUCUUCAAGUUUGGCUUUUCAUAUUUGAGAGCUCGAAACCCGAGUUUCUUUUUGACCUGCAAUCUCAUUUAAGAUAAUUUAUGAAUAUUUAUCGUUCGUUUUGGGCUAUAAAUCAACUAUUGGACUUAAAAUUAGAUAUUGGCUUUUGAGCCUUUACUCAUAAAUCGAGCUUUUUAGACAAAAACAUGGACCGCCAGAAAACAUCAUCAUCAAUAGUUUCACCAUCACAGGCACACCACAAAUUCAAAAAAGAUAAUCUAGUAGAGCAUUGUUUUGAGAACCAUCACACCAUGCAACAUAAUUAAAUAAAAAUAAAAACAUGUGGAUUAUGGUUUCGCCAUCACAGGCACACCAUAAACAGUUAUGAUAACAUUAUCACCAUGCAUCAGUAAUCAACUCCAUGAAAUAGGUCGGUGCAAUAUCAUUGAUGGUACUCGGCUAUCUUAGUUGAUGUCAAUGUGGUCUACCAAAAAACCGGCACACAAAGCUUCAAGGAACUUGAUCGCCAAUAUACCGCAAUCAUGCAAGUUUUCCUGGAGCGGUAUCCUGUCGUAGAAUGUGACUUUUCCAAACGUCCUUAACAGGAUGUGGAAUGUAAAUGUCUUAAUUAACUCCAACAGCACUACAGAGCCAUGCAACCGACUUUCCCACAUGUUGAAAAUAAAGUACUGUGAUUGUUUCAUUGCUAAGGCCAAGGUCAUAAAGUACCUAGUGGUUUUGAUUCACAUAAGCUACUCUGUAAACACAGUCGCAGGAUUUUCAUGGAACAUCAUGUUGUUUGACGUACUUCAAGUAUUUCAUAAGGCAUCCUGGAGUUCAAUAUGAUCUGGACAAUAAUAGGGUAGAUAACAGAUCAUCAGUACUUCCUAAGGUACGGAGUUUCUUGGAGACAUGGUUGGAGACAUGUUUGGAUCGAGACUGACUGCGCUUAUUUGGUGGAUCUUUUCAGUUCUCGGUCAAACACGGUUCCUUGGAGGUUCUUCAGUCGCUGGCGUAAGGUUCUCUCUUCCCUUGCUGGUUUUCAUUUUAUUAUCACUCACAUCUACAGGGAAGGGAACCGGGUUGCAGAUUGUUUGGCUUCUUCUGUAGCGGAGGAAGGCUAUUGGAAUUUUACGAUCCCGGAUAUCCUACAGUUGGUGAAGGAUGACAGGCGGCAACUUCCUUACAUUCGGGUUGUCACUUGAGCUUGGUCUCCUUGGGGCACUGGUUUGUGUUUGUUUUGGUUGUUGAUCUGGUUCUUUUGGUCCUGCUGUCCGGGUGUUGGGAAGGUUUCCAAAGUUUGGGUAGUCACACUUGGCGGUCCUUGCUUGUCGUGAUUUGUCCGGUAGAUGCUAGCAGGAGUGUCUUCACUCGAUAAGCUUAAUUCUUCUCUGGUUUUGGAGUUUGCUGCUGGUCUCUGCUCCUCUGAUGGAUCCUCAUUAUGAGCAUGGGAAACCGCGCGGGAAAACUUGGGUUACCACCAAUGGUUUCAUCCCGUGAUUAUGACCUUAAAAGCACGUGCUUAAUAAGUUUGAGAAUUGAUUAUAAAAGUAAUUGCUUUAGGAGAUUCACUGCUAGCGGAGAACUGGGUCUGAUCGUCUUGUUUGGUCUUCUCGCUGUGACGUCCCUUGCUUUUGUUCUUCCCUUCAUCUGUGAUGGUUGGAUCUUUUGCUCCUGGGUUUGGUUGGUGCUUGUUUUGAGAUUGUGCCCCUCUGGAGUUCACCCUGUACUGAAGUUUGUUUGGUGGCCAGUUUGUCUUGUUGUUUGCUUUGGUGUUUCCUGGGGCCACGGUUGUCUUUUGCACAGGUGACCAGAGCAGGGAGGAUUCAUAAUGCGUUCGGUGGGAAUCCUGUGCUGACUGCUCGGCUUAGUCCGGCCAGUGCAGAUCUCUCUAGAUGGCCUAAGCUGUCCCCUCGGGUUUUGUUGUUGGCUCUUUUGUGCUUGAGCUGUGUUUCUUCCGGCUUAGGGGGACGACUCGCCGAUGGGUUUUGGUUUGGCCGUAAUCUGUGGCGGCGGCUUUCCCGUCCCCCUUAACUGUGGUUCUGUUUUUUUUGGUUUUUCGUUAGGUGGUAUUGCGCCUUACAUUGGUCCCUUGUUGUACUGCUUUUCGUUUCACCAGUUUUGUAACAACUUUUCUUUCUUUCUUUUCAAUAAAAUUUUCAUUACAG
rnacentral:lncRNA from 1 species